GAUGAACGCUGGCGGCGUGCCUAAUACAUGCAAGUCGAGCGAACAGACGAGGAGCUUGCUCCUCUGACGUUAGCGGCGGACGGGUGAGUAACACGUGGAUAACCUACCUAUAAGACUGGGAUAACUUCGGGAAACCGGAGCUAAUACCGGAUAAUAUAUUGAACCGCAUGGUUCAAUAGUGAAAGACGUUUUGCUGUCACUUAUAGAUGGAUCCGCGCCGCAUUAGCUAGUUGGUAAGGUAACGGCUUACCAAGGCAACGAUGCGUAGCCGACCUGAGCGGGGGAUCGGCCACACUGGAACGUAGACACGGUCCAGACUCCUACGGGAGGCAGCAGUAGGGAAUCUUCGGCAAUGGUCGAAAGCCUGACGGAGCAACGCCGCGUGAGUGAUGAAGGUCUUCGGAUCGUAAAACUCUGUUAUUAGGGAAGAACAAAUGUGUAAGUAACUAUGCACGUCUUGACGGUACCGAAUCAGAAAGCCACGGCUAACUACGUG
rnacentral:rRNA from 1 species